GUAACACGUGGGUGAUCUGCCCUGCACUUCGGGAUAAGCCCGGGAAACUGGGUCUAAUACCGGAUAGUACUGCGCGGUGCAUGCGGUGUGGUGGAAAGAUUUAUCGGUGCAGGAUGGGCCCGCGGCCUAUCAGCUUGUUGGUGGGGUAAUGGCCUACCAAGGCGACGACGGGUAGCCGGCCUGAGAGGGCGACCGGCCACACUGGGACUGAGACACGGCCCAGACUCCUACGGGAGGCAGCAGUGGGGAAUAUUGCACAAUGGGCGCAAGCCUGAUGCAGCGACGCCGCGUGAGGGAUGACGGCCUUCGGGUUGUAAACCUCUUUCAGCAGGGACGAAGCGCARGUGACGGUACCUGCAGAAGAAGCACCGGCCAACUACGUGCCAGCAGCCGCGGUAAUACGUAGGGUGCAAGCGUUGUCCGGAAUUACUGGGCGUAAAGAGCUCGUAGGCGGUUUGUCGCGUCGUCUGUGAAAACCAGCAGCUCAACUGUUGGCUUGCAGGCGAUACGGGCAGACUUGAGUAUUUCAGGGGAGACUGGAAUUCCUGGUGUAGCGGUGAAAUGCGCAGAUAUCAGGAGGAACACCGGUGGCGAAGGCGGGUCUCUGGGAAAUAACUGACGCUGAGGAGC
rnacentral:rRNA from 1 species